UACGUAGGGUGCAAGCGUUGUCCGGAAUUAUUGGGCGUAAAGAGCUCGUAGGCGGUUUGUCGCGUCUGCUGUGAAACUCGGGGCUUAACCCCGGGCCUGCAGUGGGUACGGGCAGACUAGAGUGCGGUAGGGGAGACUGGAAUUCCUGGUGUAGCGGUGAAAUGCGCAGAUAUCAGGAGGAACACCGGUGGCGAAGGCGGGUCUCUGGGCCGUAACUGACGCUGAGGAGCGAAAGCGUGGGGAGCGAACAGG
rnacentral:rRNA from 1 species